rnacentral:tRNA from 1 species
GCCUGGGUGGCUCAGUUGGUUGAGCGUCCAGCUUCAGCUCAGGUCAUGAUCUCACAGUUCGUGGGUUCAAGCCCCACAUCAGGCU